UACGAAGGGGGCGAGCGUUGUUCGGAAUUACUGGGCGUAAAGCGCACGUAGGCGGAUAUUUAAGUCAGGGGUGAAAUCCCAGAGCUCAACUCUGGAACUGCCUUUGAUACUGGGUAUCUUGAGUAUGGAAGAGGUAAGUGGAAUUGCGAGUGUAGAGGUGAAAUUCGUAGAUAUUCGCAGGAACACCAGUGGCGAAGGCGGCUUACUGGUCCAUAACUGACGCUGAGGUGCGAAAGCGUGGGAGCAAACAGG
rnacentral:rRNA from 1 species